rnacentral:tRNA from 1 species
GCGCGAGUGGCGGAAUUGGUAGACGCGCUACCUUGAGGGGGUAGUGGGAGUAAUCCCGUGGAGGUUCAAGUCCUCUCUCGCGCACCA